rnacentral:rRNA from 1 species
GAUGAACGCUGGCGGCGUGCCUAAUACAUGCAAGUCGAGCGAACGGACGAGAAGCUUGCUUCUCUGACGUUGGCGGCGGACGGGUGAGUAACAUGUGGAUAACCUACCUAUAAGACUGGGAUCACUUCGGGAAACCGGAGCUAAUACCGGAUAAUAUUUUGAACCGCAUGGUUCAAAAGUGAAAGACGGUCUUGCUGUCACUUAUAGCUGGAUCCGCGCUGCAUUAGCUAGUUGGUAAGGUAACGGCUUACCAAGGCAACGAUGCAUAGCCGACCUGAGAGGGGGAUCGGCCACACUGGAACGGGAACACGGACCAGACUCCUACGGGAGGGAGCAGUAGGGAAUCUUCCGCAAUGGGCGAAAGCCUGACGGAGCAACGCCGCGUGAGUGAUAAAGGUCUUCGGAGCGUAAAACUCUGUUAUUAGGGAAGAACAGAUGUGUAAGUAACUGUGCACAGCGUGACGGUACCGAAUCAGAAAGCCACGGCUAACUACGUG